AUCCAGCUGACGCGUCCCGAACAGGACGAAACGCGCGUCCUGGAU
rnacentral:hammerhead_ribozyme from 1 species